rnacentral:rRNA from 1 species
UGCAGUCAAGGAGAAAUCCGACUUCGGUUGGAUAAGUAAACUGGCGCACGGGUGANUAACGCGUAGGUAAUCUGCCUUUUGGUUUGGGAUAACUCCGAGAAAUCGGAGCUAAUACCGAAUGAUGCAGCGGAUCCUCAUGGAUAUGUUGUUAAAGGUGUCUUCGGAUAUCGCCAAUAGAUGAACCUGCGUUCCAUUAGCUAGUUGGUGAGGUAACGGCUCACCAAGGCAACGAUGGGUAGCCGGCCUGAGAGGGUGGUCGGUCACACUGGAACUGAGACACGGUCCAGACUUCUACGGAAGGCAGCAGUGAGGAAUAUUGGGCAAUGGGCGAAAGCCUGACCCAGCAACGCCGCGUGAGGGAAGAAGCUCUACGGAGUGUAAACCUCUGUUAGGAGGGACGAAUGUUGUAAUGGUAAAUAAUCAUUACAAAGGGACGGUACCUCCAAAGAAAGCCCCGGCUAACUCCGUGCCAGCAGCCGCGGUAAUACGGGGG